rnacentral:rRNA from 1 species
AUUGAACGCUGGCGGCAUGCUUUACACAUGCAAGUCGAACGGUAACAGGCCUUCGGGUGCUGACGAGUGGCGAACGGGUGAGUAAUGCAUCGGAACGUGCCCAGAGGUGGGGGAUAACGCAGCGAAAGCUGUGCUAAUACCGCAUGUGAUCUGAGGAUGAAAGCGGGGGACCAGGCAGCAAUGUUUGGCCUCGCGCCUUUGGAGCGGCCGAUGUCAGAUUAGGUAGUUGGUGGGGUAAAGGCCUACCAAGCCGACGAUCUGUAGCUGGUCUGAGAGGACGACCAGCCACACUGGGACUGAGACACGGCCCAGACUCCUACGGGAGGCAGCAGUGGGGAAUUUUGGAUAAUGGGCGCAAGCCUGAUCCAGCAAUGCCGCGUGCGGGAAGAAGGCCUUCGGGUUGUAAACCGCUUUUGUACGGAACGAAAAGGCUCUGGCUAAUACCUGGGGCUGAUGACGGUACCGUAAGAAUAAGCACCGGCUAACUACGUG